UUGUGUUAUUAGGUGGAGUUCAAAGUAGUUUUCCAUCAUUUGGGACAGUUUUAUUCUUGCUUAAUGAGAUUAGUUUUUUCUGUUUCAGAAGAUGUGACUUACCUUAUUUAGUGGGGGUUUAGUCGUGCACACUAUUCAGUGUCUUUCUUGGCUGAAUAUUUCCAAUUCCCUUCUGUGUAUUUGGUAUUUCUUUUCUGGAAAUACUAUGCAGAAUUACGGCUAGUUGCAGUUGUGUGAUUUCAUGGCUGAGAUCUGCAAAAAAAAAUUGCUUAUUGAUAACAUCUCAACAGCUGAUGAACUUCUUUAUUUGUUUGCUGAAUUCACCAAAUCCCUCACAGCAAAUUUUGCUUUGAUGUAACUUACCUGAACAGGAGUGAGUAAGCAUUAUCUAAUGGGAACAGUAUGUCAGACUAGAAAAGCCUCAUUUCUCCUGUUAUGCUCUGUUUUCCUUGAUUAGGAAUUAUUUUACACAUUUUAGUGCACUCAUCACAGGCUGAUAUCUGUUAUAUGAAACUCUGUGCUUUGGAUCUCUGCAUUUUUUUCAUCCUUGAAGAAAUGAGUGAGCUGAGAAUUCACAAUUCUGUCCUUCAAGGGAGAAUGAAAAAAUGCACUGCCAUAAGUUUUCUGUAAAAAAGGAUUUGAUCCUGAAGAAGAUUCUCUGGGGAAAACAAACAAACAAACAUGUUAGAAUCUUGCAGAAUUGUAUAUUGUAGGAUAAAAUAUUGAGAAUAUUCAAUUAAAAUUUUGUAAGUGCUGUUGGAGAAAUAUGAAAGAUUAUACAGAAAAAAUAUUUACUACAGAUAAUGACAAGCAAAGAACAUUUGAUUUCUCUUAGUUUUCAUUACUAUUCAUGUGGAUGUUUUUGAGAUGUGAUAUAAUUUCCAGCUAUCUCUAAGUGUAGUGGGGUGAAAGAAACAAGCCUACUGUGUGGACUUCAAAUCUACCUAAAUGUCAUAAAUGCUUUUUUUACAUCUACGUGAAUAAAAACAGGUUUCUCAAAUGCCA
rnacentral:lncRNA from 1 species